AGUGAACGCUGGCGGUAGGCCUAACACAUGCAAGUCGAACGGCAGCACAGUAAGAGCUUGCUCUUACGGGUGGCGAGUGGCGGACGGGUGAGGAAUACAUCGGAAUCUACUUUUUCGUGGGGGAUAACGUAGGGAAACUUACGCUAAUACCGCAUACGACCUACGGGUGAAAGCAGGGGAUCUUCGGACCUUGCGCGAUUGAAUGAGCCGAUGUCGGAUUAGCUAGUUGGCGGGGUAAAGGCCCACCAAGGCGACGAUCCGUAGCUGGUCUGAGAGGAUGAUCAGCCACACUGGAACUGAGACACGGUCCAGACUCCUACGGGAGGCAGCAGUGGGGAAUAUUGGACAAUGGGCGCAAGCCUGAUCCAGCCAGACCGCGUGGGUGAAGAAGGCCUUCGGGUUGUAAAGCCCUUUUGUUGGGAAAGAAAAGCAGCAGGUUAAGACCCCGCUGUUCUGACGGUACCCAAAGAAUAAGCACCGGCUAACUUCGU
rnacentral:rRNA from 1 species